UUCAUAACAACAAAAUUGAGCUUUUACAGCUAAAUACUUCAUCGUUUCAAAUACAGAAAAAUUAAAUAUCACCGUAUGCGCAUCGCUUUAAUGACAAAAAGACGAUGAACUGUGUAACAGCGCUAUCUGUAACUACUGUAAAAUUACAGCCAUUUUAAGUUAUUUUUUUAUGAUGUCAGAACAAUCAAGGGGGAAAAGUGUGAGGAUUCUUUUAUUUUACACCUCUACAUUCUUAAAUUCGCCAUGGAUUGCUUCAGGAAUAUCCCACAGUAUUUUCAAAACACUGCAUACAAAGGACUCAUCACAGGCUCAAUACAGGAGAGGAUAAAAGCUCAAAGCUAAGCCAGCGAUCUGCGAGGCAGUAAACUGGGACAAUUCUUUGAUGAAACAAACUGGAGAAUUUCAAGAGUAGGAAGAGAGACAGAAAGUGAAACAUUCCCCCAAAACAGCUGUGCUAAAAAUCCAGACUUUUCAAGAAGCGACUGAAUAAAUGCAAUCUCAGACUCUCUCUGACAAUCUGGAGUGUUUCCACCUCUCAGCAGGAGACGAGACAAGCCCCAACACACACAUCAGACACAUGCGCUACACACAGCGGGCUGCAUGUAUUACUCUUCUGCCACAGUUGUUAAAUGCGCAGACCCAGGCCUGUCCUGCUGGCUGCUCUUUUCUCAACCGCAAAACAAUUAAAUAUAUCAGUCUUUGCUUA